AGCCAGUGAAGGUGGAGUGGUCUGAAGUGAGCUAUCUGGAGGGGUCUAGACUCUGAGUGUUGUGGUCAGCAUUGUCAUAGGGGUGAAAAGCCAAGGUGAGCAGAGGAGAGAGCACAGGCACAGUGGGCUCACACUUACCCCAUCCACUCUGACUUUCUUUCAGGAAGGUCAUGACUUUCAUGAAGGUGUUAGAGCUGUUCUCAUUGACAAAGACCAGACUCCAAAAUGGAAACCAGCUGAUCUAAAAGCUGUUACUGAUGAAGAUUUGAAUAGUUAUUUUAAAUCUCUGGGAAGCAGGGAUUUGAAAUUCUGAGGUUUAUUUUGGAGCAAGGGUCAGCACACCAUAGCAGAGACGCCAGGCCUGGCAUCUUGCCCAUUUUUGUGCAACCUACAAGCUGGAAAUAGUUUUCUUGUUUUUAAAUGCUUGGGAAAGAAAUGAAAAGACUAAUGUUUCAUAAUAUAGUGGUUGCCUGAAGUUUAAGCACCAGUGUUUAUAACUUUUCAUGAUGUGACAGCUAAAGUUCAAACACCAGUGUUUUAUGGAGCCUUCCUGCAGUGGAGCGGAACUUGUUCUCUAUGGCUCCUUGGAGUGGCCAUGGCACAGACUUCGUGACCCACAGCACUUCAAGUAUCUAAGUAUCUACUGUGAUCUUCGUCAGAAAUGGUUUGCUGGUCCCUGGUUUAUAAGAAAAUUCUUAAGAGCUCCAGAGAAUCCCAAGUCAUUUCUCAUUAAAACAAUGACUGUAACUCCUAGUUUAUCAGUAAUUAACCAAAUUAUGUACAGAUUAUCAGAAUCCAAACCUUGAAAUUUGGAGAGGGUUUGUUGAUGCCUUAUAAAUUUUCCUUUUUUAAACAUUUCCUACUUUAAAACAAUAUUGUAGCAGAAUUACUUUGUAAACAUUAAAAAUCUCAUGCAAAAAACAA